rnacentral:rRNA from 1 species
UUGCACUCAAUUGGAAAGAGGAGUUGCGGACGGGUGAGUAACACGUGGGUAACCUACCCAUCAGUAGGGGGAUAACACUUGGAAACAGGUGCUAAUACCGCAUAACAGUUUAUGCCGCAUGGCAUAAGAGUGAAAGGCGCUUUCGGGUGUCGCUGAUGGAUGGACCCGCGGUGCAUUAGCUAGUUGGUGAGGUAACGGCUCACCAAGGCCACGAUGCAUAGCCGACCUGAGAGGGUGAUCGGCCACACUGGGACUGAGACACGGCCCAGACUCCUACGGGAGGCAGCAGUAGGGAAUCUUCGGCAAUGGACGAAAGUCUGACCGAGCAACGCCGCGUGAGUGAAGAAGGUUUUCGGAUCGUAAAACUCUGUUGUUAGAGAAGAACAAGGACGUUAGUAACUGAACGUCCCCUGACGGUAUCUAACCAGAAAGCCACGGCUAACUACGUGCCAGCAGCCGCGGUAAUACGUAGGUGGCAAGCGUUGUCCGGAUUUAUUGGGCGUAAAGCGAGCGCAGGCGGUUUCUUAAGUCUGAUGUGAAAGCCCCCGGCUCAACCGGGGAGGGUCAUUGGAAACUGGGAGACUUGAGUGCAGAAGAGGAGAGUGGAAUUCCAUGUGUAGCGGUGAAAUGCGUAGAUAUAUGGAGGAACACCAGUGGCGAAGGCGGCUCUCUGGUCUGUAACUGACGCUGAGGCUCGAAAGCGUGGGGGAGCAAACAGGAUUAGAUACCCUGGUAGUCCACGCCGUAAACGAUGAGUGCUAAGUGUUGGAGGGUUUCCGCCCUUCAGUGCUGCAGCAAACGCAUUAAGCACUCCGCCUGGGGAGUACGACCGCAAGGUUGAAACUCAAAGGAAUUGACGGGGGCCCGCACAAGCGGUGGAGCAUGUGGUUUAAUUCGAAGCAACGCGAAGAACCUUACCAGGUCUUGACAUCCUUUGACCACUCUAGAGAUAGAGCUUUCCCUUCGGGGACAAAGUGACAGGUGGUGCAUGGUUGUCGUCAGCUCGUGUCGUGAGAUGUUGGGUUAAGUCCCGCAACGAGCGCAACCCUUAUUGUUAGUUGCCAUCAUUUAGUUGGGCACUCUAGCGAGACUGCCGGUGACAAACCGGAGGAAGGUGGGGAUGACGUCAAAUCAUCAUGCCCCUUAUGACCUGGGCUACACACGUGCUACAAUGGGAAGUACAACGAGUCGCUAGACCGCGAGGUCAUGCAAAUCUCUUAAAGCUUCUCUCAGUUCGGAUUGCAGGCUGCAACUCGCCUGCAUGAAGCCGGAAUCGCUAGUAAUCGCGGAUCAGCACGCCGCGGUGAAUACGUUCCCGGGCCUUGUACACACCGCCCGUCACACCACGAGAGUUUGUAACACCCGAAGUCGGUGAGGUAACCUUUUUGGAGCCAGCCGCCUAGUGGAUAGAUGAUGGGU